rnacentral:rRNA from 1 species
UACGUAGGGGGCAAGCGUUGUCCGGAUUUAUUGGGCGUAAAGAGCGUGUAGGCGGUUAGGUAGGUCCGUUGUGAAAACUCGAGGCUCAACCUCGAGACGCCGAUGGAAACCAUCUGACUAGAGUCCGGAAGAGGAGAGUGGAAUUCCUGGUGUAGCGGUGAAAUGCGCAGAUAUCAGGAAGAACACCCGUGGCUAAGGCGGGUCUCUGGGCCGAUACUGACGCUGAGGAGCGAAAGCGUGGGGAGCAAACAGG